rnacentral:rRNA from 1 species
UACGGGGGGGGCAAGCGUUGUUCGGAAUUACUGGGCGUAAAGGGCUCGUAGGCGGCCAACUAAGUCGAACGUGAAAUCCCCCGGCUUAACCGGGGAACUGCGUCCGAUACUGGAUGGCUUGAAUCCGGGAGAGGGAUGCGGAAUUCCAGGUGUAGCGGUGAAAUGCGUAGAUAUCUGGAGGAACACCGGUGGCGAAGGCGGCAUCCUGGACCGGCAUUGACGCUGAGGAGCGAAAGCCAGGGGAGCAAACGGG